rnacentral:lncRNA from 1 species
AUAAAGAUGUUCUUCUGAUAGGGAGUGCCCUAUGAGGCCACCUUCACAUGGUGAGUAAUGACCCCGACACCUCUGCAACAUCCCCGAUCACUUGGAGCACCUGAAUGGAUCAGCGGGAGCAGAUCACUUCUUUUCUUCAGGGCAAGGGAACACACCUCCGUGCACUUUCCAGUUAAGAACAGGAACUAGUCACAAAUGAAAAGCUAAGUCCGAAUGUUCAAAACAACAUGCUACAUAAAACGAAACCACCAGAGCAUACCUGCCAAUACCUUGGCCCAGAUCUUCCUGCUGAGGAACAGAGGCAGAAAAGGCAGAAGCUCUCUGGGGAGCUCUUUGCCUGACUGUGACCCAAACUUUCUGUCCUGACGCAGAGGUGGAAAAGGCAGUUAUUUCCCCCUGAAACUCAAAUCUCUUACUCACAGGGUAAAGACAGAAAACCUCCGUUCUAGAAAGGGAGAGCUGGAAAGGACACUCAAGCAAACUCCAGGCCUUCAACCAAAGAGUGGGAAGGUCCAGAUUUCAGGAGGAUUCACCACUUACUACUGCCCAACUCUUUCUCUCAGAGUCAGAACUCAAGGGCUUCAGAUCUGGCCAGGCACCCAGUCCAGGAGGAAUGUGGUGUGAUCUGAGAGAUGAAAAUACAUGCCCCCUUAGAGACUAAGGCAGACUCGAAAGUUAAG